AGCGAACGCUGGCGGCAGGCUUAACACAUGCAAGUCGAACGCCCCGCAAGGGGAGUGGCAGACGGGUGAGUAACACGUGGGAACGUACCCUUUGGUUCGGAAUAACUUGGGGAAACUCAAGCUAAUACCGGAUAAGCCCUUAUGGGGAAGGGUUUACUGCCGAAGGAUCGGCCCGCGUCUGAUUAGCUAGUUGGUGAGGUAAUGGCUCACCAAGGCGACGAUCAGUAGCUGGUCUGAGAGGAUGAUCAGCCACACUGGGACUGAGACACGGCCCAGACUCCUACGGGAGGCAGCAGUGGGGAAUAUUGGACAAUGGGGGCAACCCUGAUCCAGCCAUGCCGCGUGAGUGAUGAAGGCCUUAGGGUUGUAAAGCUCUUUUACCCGGGACGAUAAUGACUGUACCGGGAGAAUAAGUCCCGGCUAACUUCGUGCCAGCCGCCGCAGUAA
rnacentral:rRNA from 1 species